UCUUCCAUAUCUGUGUCUGAACUUCUAUCUCCUUGGGGUUCGAUUUUGCGAUUUUCAUUCCAUCUUUGACCAUCGGAGAGUAGAACCUGAGUUGCAUACCCUGCUUCUGGUUUCUGUUACCUGUAACCACUUCAGCAAAGGUUUGCUUGUGAGAUUCAACUGAAUAUGUGAGUUUUCUAACUGUUGUGAUUAUUGCUGUUUCCUUUGAUUGCUUCCUUUCUUCCUCCUUCUCCGAUAGUGGUUGCAUGACGGUCGGAGCACUCCCCAUACCCGGGAACUACUGCAAUAGUGGUAUUGGGUUUAGGGUUUGAGGAAUUCCACUCUCUGGGGUGACGAUUCGAGCCAUUGUACAGUGGGGAAAAGUAAUUGUGGAGGUGAUUGUGGUGGCUUACGGUGGUGAGCUUCUUGCUUUUCGUCGCCAGGUCUCUCUCUAAUUUUCUCUCUACAUCUCAGUUGACAAGAAG
rnacentral:lncRNA from 1 species